rnacentral:rRNA from 1 species
CCUACGGGUGGCAGCAGUGAGGAAUAUUGGUCAAUGGACGAGAGUCUGAACCAGCCAAGUAGCGUGAAGGAUGACUGCCCUAUGGGUUGUAAACUUCUUUUAUAUGGGAAUAAAAUGUUCCACGUGUGGGAUUUUGUAUGUACCCUAUGAAUAAGGAUCGGCUCACUCCGUGCCAGCAGCCGCGGUAAUAAGGAGGAUCCGAGCGUUAUCCGGAUUUAUUGGGUUUAAAGGGAGCGUAGGUGGAAUGUUAAGUCAGUUGUGAAAGUUUGCGGCUCAACCGUAAAAUUGCAGUUGAACAUGGCAGUCUUGAGUACAGUAGAGGUGGGCGGAAUUCGUGGUGUAGCGGUGAAAUGCUUAGAUAUCACGAAGAACUCCGAUUGCGAAGGCAGUUCACUGGACUGCAACUGACACUGAGGCUCGAAAGUGUGGGUAUCAAACAGGAUUAGAUACCCGUGUAGUC